GCCACGGCCUGUUGUAGUACA
rnacentral:miRNA from 1 species